GACGAACGCUGGCGGCGUGCUUAACACAUGCAAGUCGAACGAUGAAGCUGGAGCUUGCUCCGGUGGAUUAGUGGCGAACGGGUGAGUAACACGUGAGCAAUCUGCCCUUGACUCUGGGAUAACUGCGGGAAACUGUAGCUAAUACCGGAUACGAGACCUGAAGGCAUCUUCGGGUCUGGAAAGAAUUUCGGUCAAGGAUGAGCUCGCGGCCUAUCAGCUUGUUGGUGAGGUAAUGGCGCACCAAGGCGACGACGGGUAGCCGGCCUGGGAGGGUGACCGGCCAAACUGGGACUGAGACACGGCCCAGAAUCCUACGGGAGGCAGCAGUGGGGAAUAUGGCACAAUGGGCGAAAGCCUGAUGCAGCAACGCCGCGUGAGGGAUGAAGGCCUUCGGGUUGUAAACCUCUUUUAGCAGGGAAGAAGCGAAAGUGACGGUACCUGCAGAAAAAGCACCGGCUAACUACGUGCCAGCAGCCGCCGUAA
rnacentral:rRNA from 1 species